GCUAGAUGUGGUGGUGCACAUCUGUAAUCCCAGCUACUCAGGAGGCUGAGGUGGGAGAAUCGCUUGAACGCGGGAGGUGGAGGUCGCAGUGAGCCCAGAUCGCGCCACUGCACUCCAGCCUGGGUGACAGAGCGAGACUCCAUCUCAA
rnacentral:SRP_RNA from 1 species